CGGAUUGCCUCCUCACGCGCGAGUGAGCGGCAAAGCUCAAUUUGAAAUCUGCCCUUAAAGGGGGGUCCGAGUUGUAAUUUGCAGAGGGUGCUCCUUCGAUGGCAGCGGUCUAAGUUCCUUGGAACAGGACGUCACAGAGGGUGAGAAUCCCGUACGUGGUCGCUUGCCUUCGCCGUGUAAAGCUCCGUCGACGAGUCGAGUUGUUUGGGAAUGCAGCUCUAAAUGGGAGGUAAAUUUCUCCUAAAGCUAAAUACUGGCCAGAGACCGAUAGCGCACAAGUAGAGUGAUCGAAAGAUGAAAAGCACUUUGGAAAGAGAGUCAAAUAGCACGUGAAAUUGUUGAAAGGGAAGCGCUUGCAGCCAGACUUGCCCGCGGUUGUUCUCUUCCGUGGGCAGGCCAGCAUCAGUUUGGGCGAUCGGAUAAAGGCCUCUGUCACGUAUCUUUCUUCGGGAAGACCUUAUAGGGGAGGCGAAAUGCGAUCAGCCUGGACUGAGGUCCGCGCAUCUGCUAGGAUGCUGGCGUAAUGGCUGUAAGCGGCCCGUCUUGAAACACGGACCAAGGAGUCUAACAUCUAUGCGAGUGUUUGGGUGUCAAGCCCGGGCGCGUAAUGAAAGUGAACGGAGGUGGGAACCCUCUCGGGGGUGCACCAUCGACCGAUCCUGAAGUCUUCGGAUGGAUUUGAGUAAGAGCAUGGCUGUUGGGACCCGAAAGAUGGUGAACUAUGCUUGAAUAGGGUGAAGCCAGAGGAAACUCUGGUGGAGGCUCGCAGCGGUUCUGACGUGCAAUCGAUCGUCAAAUUUGGGCAUAGGGGCGAAAGACUAAUCGAACUAUCUAGUAGCUGGUUCCUGCCAAAGUUUCCCCU
rnacentral:rRNA from 1 species